rnacentral:rRNA from 1 species
AGCAGCCGCGGUAAUUCCAGCUCCAAUAGCGUAUAUUAAAGUUGUUGCAGUUAAAAAGCUCGUAGUUGAAUUUCGGGGUCAGUAGGCUGGUCGUGCCACAGGUACGUACUGGUCUCACUGAUUCCUCCUUCCUGAUGAACCGUAAUGCCAUUAAUUUGGUGUUGCGGGGAAACUGGACUGUUACUUUGAAAAAAUUAGAGUGUUUAAAGCAGGCUAACGCUUGAAUACAUUAGCAUGGAAUAAUGAAAUAGGACGUUCGAUCCUAUUUUGUUGGUUUCUAGGAUUGACGUAAUGAUUAAUAGGGAUAGUUGGGGGCAUUAGUAUUCAAUUGUCAGAGGUGAAAUUCUUGGAUUUAUUGAAGACUAACUACUGCGAAAGCAUUUGCCAAGGAUGUUUUCAUUAAUCAAGAACGAAAGUUAGGGGAUCGAAGACGAUCAGAUACCGUCGUAGUCUUAACCAUAAACUAUGCCGACUAGGGAUCGGAUGAUGUUAAUUUUUAAUGACUCAUUCGGCGCCUUAA